rnacentral:rRNA from 1 species
GCAUAUUUUAGAGGCUAAAAUCAAANUAUUAAAAUUUAUAAUUUUANUACCAAAUCCACCUUCAAAAAAUUUUUCAUAUUUAAAUCCGUAUAAAUAAAUUUAUUGUAACCCAUUUCUACUUAAUCAUUAGCUACACCUUGAUCUGAUAUAAAUUAUAAUAAAAAUUCAAGAAAAUUAUUAUUCUAAUAAAAUAUUCUUAUAACGACGGUAUAUAAACUGAAAACAUUAUUAAGUAAGGUCCAACGUGGAAUAUCAAUUACAGAACAGGUUCCUCUGGAUAGACUAAAAUACCGCCAAAUUUUUUAAGUUUCAAGACCAUAACUACUACUACCUAAGAAUACAAAAUAAUUUUAAAUAAUA